AUCUUGUGAUUCCUGAUAUCAGAUUUAUGUCCAUUAUGACCCUACACCAAAGGAUAAAUGGACAUAAAUCUGAUAUCAGGAAUCACAAGAC